GCUUCAUAAGUUUAAAAAUUUUUGAGUAUUUAAAACAUAAAUUUAUUUUUCGAUAUCUUAUUUGGUUGGGGCGACAAUGGUAUAAUUCAAAAUAACUGCCGUUUAUAUAAUAACAAUUAUCAUUGAGUUAACGAAAUUAUAACUGAUCCUCUUUAGGGAGUAAAAGAUCAAGUU
rnacentral:rRNA from 1 species